AGAAAGCAAAUGCGAUUCCCUGAGUAGCGGCGAGCGAAACGGGAACAGCCCAAACCAAGAGGCUUGCCUCUUGGGGUUGUAGGACACUCUGUACGGAGUUGCAAAAGAACGAGGUAGAUGAAGAGGUCUGGAAAGGCCCGCCAUAGGAGGUAACAGCCCUGUAGUCAAAACUUCGUUCUCUCCUGAGUGGAUCCUGAGUACGGCGGAACACGUGAAAUUCCGUCGGAAUCCGGGAGGACCAUCUCCCAAGGCUAAAUACUCCCU
rnacentral:rRNA from 1 species